AAAGAAAAGAAAGAAAAAAAAAAACUAAUUAGCAUAGGAAACAUUAAAAUUGAAAAGGAAAAAAAAAUACUGCUUCCACAUGAACAUGCUCGACAUCAUACUCUGCCACUUGGAAAAACACUUGUUCUCGAGUUAGAAUACCUUGCAAUGAUCCAAACUUUUGCACUAUCAACUUUCAUACCAUUCUUACCCAAUUGGAAUAAAUCUAUCCUUAAAUUUUGAGGUGUUGAAGAAUCAAAAGCUUUAUUGAACUAACACAGCAUAUUGUCUUCUUGGUCAAUGUUAACCAUGAUGAAUUAUGCAAAAUUGAAACGAGCUUCUUCACAUUUUUAUUUGUAUCCACCAAAACAUUUAGACAAAUAAAAUCAAUAGGAAUUAAGGAGUUAGAAAAAAAUCUUUAAUCAACAUCAUCUCCAUGACUUAGAUUUUCUCCAAGUUCAAAUAUUGUUUCCAUGGAUUGUUUUUCCUCAACUUCCAUUGGAAUCUCUAGGAGGUGAUAUUUGUCAUUUCCUUUGACACAUUCUUCAAGCUUUGCAUCUUCAAUCAUAGCAAAAGGAAACUU
rnacentral:misc_RNA from 1 species